rnacentral:rRNA from 1 species
AACGAACGCUGGCGGCAUGCCUAACACAUGCAAGUCGAACGAGACCUUCGGGUCUAGUGGCGCACGGGUGCGUAACGCGUGGGAACCUGCCCUUAGGUUCGGAAUAACUCCCCGAAAGGGGUGCUAAUACCGGAUAAUGUCUUCGGACCAAAGAUUUAUCGCCUUUGGAUGGGCCCGCGUUGGAUUAGCUAGUUGGUAGGGUAAAAGCCUACCAAGGCGACGAUCCAUAGCUGGUCUGAGAGGAUGAUCAGCCACACUGGGACUGAGACACGGCCCAGACUCCUACGGGAGGCAGCAGUGGGGAAUAUUGGACAAUGGGCGGAAGCCUGAUCCAGCAAUGCCGCGUGAGUGAUGAAGGCCUUAGGGUUGUAAAGCUCUUUUACCCGGGAUGAUAAUGACAGUACCGGGAGAGUAAGCUCCGGCUAACUCCGUG